GCCCUCGUAGCUCAACUGGAUAGAGCGUUCGCCUCCUAAGCGAAAGGCUCCCAGUUCGAUUCUGGGCGAGGGUACGA
rnacentral:tRNA from 1 species